GGAAUGAGAUAGGGGCCCCUGGAUGGCUGAGUCAGUUGGCCUCUUCUGACCUCCUCUCAGGGUCAUGAUCUCUGGGUCCUGGAGCUUAGCCCCUGGUGAGGCUCCCUGCUCAG
rnacentral:pre_miRNA from 2 species